GAUUGAAGAACACUUGAAAGCUUUUUUCUGCCGCUAAGGGGAUAUGAAUGACAUAAUCUGCGCAGAAUGAUCUCCCAUGUGCAAGUUCGAAGUACUUGUAUUACUAGGAUUGAAGUUGCAGACAACGUUAUCAACACAAGUCGAUGUGUCGACAGUUAUUCUUGAUGGUUCUUCGAAUUUAUGGUGACCAUUGUAGCAUCUGAAUAAAUCCAAUAAUUUA